CUCAUGAGUCUUCCCCAGCACCUCAAAUGACCUAAAAAAAAUAAUUAAUUUGAAAUUAUUGCCAUUUUAACCAUCUCCUGAACGUGCCUUGCUUUAUUUUAGAAAACUAAUUUCCAGAUUUCCUGCUUUUGCUUAGAAGAAGGUAAGAGUUAAAUAAGCAUCCAUCUUGAGUAGGCUGGCCAAGAAAUGCAUCCUGGCCCAGGUCUCUAGCUUGGAACUGGGGUUUGUGCCGUGGGGUGAGAAGGUGGAGCUCUGCAGAGCCUUUGUGUAAUUGUGGCUUUAUUGGGUAGUCAUGGGCCUAGAGCAAGCUUGACUUUCGGCCAGAGCACCUCAUGUUAUUUUCAACUAUUAUAAAAGGAAAUGAAAGGGAAUAAGAUGUAGUGUUCUGGUGCUAUACUCUGUUUUUUAAAAGCAGGAUGGUUAUGCAGAGUCUUUGCGCACAGAAAAAGGUUUAUUUAUUUAUUUAUAUUUUCCUCCUUCUAUUUAUAACCAGAUCAAAUUCUUGAGAAAUUUAGGUAAGGGGCCAAAGUUGAGGUUAAUUGGUGUUAAAUCCAGGAGAAUUGGAGGAAGCCAGGAAGAUGGACGAAGAAGUGGAUGGGGUUGCAGUCAAUAAAAUGGGCACCCUUCUCCUGCAUCACACCCCUCUGAAGUGUAACCCGUGGCACUUUGACUUCAGUGAGUCCCUCCCGCUAGCCCCAUGAGGCCGGGAGAGUGACAGCUUUGCCCACUGGGCACAGGGCUGGUUGGCCCAGGUAACCUGUCCUAAGAAAUUGGGCCUGCAGGCCAGCACACAGGGCACCAGACCCGUCCAUUCUGCGUGUUCUGGCAAAAGUGGCUGAGGAUCACAGUCCAACAAAUACAAAGCUGCUUCUGAUUCCAGACUCACUCCUGAGUGCAUUUUGUCUCAGAUUGCAUAAUAAACAUUCUUUUGUUUAACAAAUUGUUUUGCAUCAUCACUUCUGAACCAUGUUAAUGAUAUCGUAUCUGACAUAGCAAUAGAGUUUGGUUUUUUGUUUUUAUUUUCACUCAAGCAGGGUCUGUCUUCAAAGAAGACAGAAGAAUGACCUGAGAAGUGUCACUCUUUUGGAGGCCAACGCUAAGGUGAAGGAUAUUGCAAUAUCCAGGGAGAGGAGAACUCUAAAAGGCAGGAUGAAGACCUAGCUGGACUGGAAAUCAGGUUUCUGACUCCUCAUCCCAUUUAAAUCCCAUCUCAUCACCCAGCACCUUAACUGCAGGCAUGGGGGACCACAGGUUCUGUACCUGAUUUGCAAGUCGUGCAAGUCUCAGCAAUCUCAUGGAGCCUCGAAACACUCUACUGGAAUGAAGAAUCGGAAGCGUGGCCCCAUGGCAUCCCAGCUUUACUUCUGAGACCAAAGCGCUGAAGUUCAGUGUGGCGAGGGUGCCGGGAAAUGGGGCGCCAUCAUGGCCUCCUGGUGUGAGUUAAAAAUGGCCCAGGCUUCUUUGGGAGAACAGUUUGUCAUUGUCUAGACAAAAGUGUAGAAUUAUCUAACCCACUGACCCAGCAAUUCCACUUCUGAGUUACCCAACAGACAAUGCACAUGGCUACACUGGAUACUCGACAGGCACCCAGACCCAUUCCUCAAGUAGUGUUCAACAUGAGUCCUACCUAUUACAAACCGAUA